rnacentral:lncRNA from 1 species
CCAGCCUUUAAGUCACUGAUAUGAAGGUAGAACUUCCAAAUUUCAAAAAUGUUACCCAGGUGAUCUCACUUAAACCUCACAAUACCAUUGUGAGUGUAGCAUCUCUUUCUGCAGUGUCAUUUCAUCCCUGUCUCUAGCUGAGGGCCCUGAAAGUUCCUGGAGUUUCUGUGAGACACUGGAAAGUCAAAUUGUCUUGAUCUUUUCUUAGAAAGAAGGCAAAUGAAUGAUGAGAUCUGUACAUUAGUGUACACAUCUGGAUUUCUCUUUUUCCAACCAUAAGACUUUGAGGGAAGCUUCCUGGUAGCCUCCUGAAGACAGAGAGGAGCAGUAUCAAUGAUCAGGCUGAUCCCUUGAGACUCAGGACCCCUGCUCACCAUGCCUGAAAUUGGGCUGCUUCAUUACUGUUGGGGUUGAGGUAAUCGAGCUCCUUGCAGGUCAGCCACAAGUUCAACGUGGAAGUGACAAGUUUUCAGGCCUUCAAGUAUGAGGCGCUCAUUUCUCCAGAGGAUAUGAAGGAAGGAAACAACAAGUUUUUCCAAGGCUUGAUGUCUCCGGCAAGUGGAAAUGGGAGAGAAAAACUUCUGUAAAGGAAAACGGGGCAGCCAGGGGGAAAUAUUGGGGGAGGGAGGUGCACACAAUGCCCUCAUCCUUCUGCAAAGGUUGCCUGCUGCUGAGGCCAAGGUUACCUGAUGCUGCUUGGAAAGACUGAGGACUUAAGUGGAAGGCAUCAUUGCUAGGGGCCCACCUUCCAAUCCAAUCUGCUGAGCUAAUUAGUUGCAGAGGCUCCAGGUCUAUCAAGACAAUAAGCUUUCUUCUGAACUGAAUGAGAAGAGGUGUUUGAGAAGCUGGGGAAACCUGAAAAGCAACUUGGGCUCCCAUCAAAGAAUGAAUGGGCCCGUUUGGGAUAUAUGUAAAUGUGGCUUUAAGAAAGAAAAAUAAAUGUUGCAAGAGAAUAUAUCA